CGUGUAUCUCUCUACCUGUUUUAAUUUAAAACUGUAGGUGUGCCUCUACCUCAAGUGAUGUUCGUCCAGGCUCCACUUCACUACUGCUAAGCUCCACCUACCCGAACAUUAACCCAGGGAGCUCCGGCUGCGAAGCGGGCCUGAGCCAGACAUAGACAUGGGACUAGGGUAGACUGGAACCUCAAAAAAGUGAAAAGUUCUGUUGCGAUACCCCUCCUAAUUUUUUCAAAAUUCAUUACAAAAUGGCCGAUCGAGACUGGGGUAGAAGGACAGAACUUUUCUUUUUUUUGAGGUUCCAGUCUGUGCCUCGAUGUCAGGAUACUGCCACAUGAUAGACCUUCAUCCAUAUAAUCGUGGAACUUGCAAGAUUGCAAUCACAACAUCCCUUUAUGCGACUAGUGUAGAGACUUGAAGUUGGUACUUCCAAGAAUGCAGAAUCACAACCUCACCUCACUUUAUGCGACUAGUGUAGAGACUUAAAGUUGGCAUUUAUCUGAUCACCGGAUCUCGGCCUCCUUUCCCUUUACCAGUUUAAGACUAGACUAGGUAAAUCAUACAGAUUGUGAGCAGAGAUAAAGAAAGAAGGACAAACUGGAAGGAGGCAGAAGUCCAAGCACUCUGCUUUUUAGCAGCAUUGAACAAGAAAUCCCUCUUUUAAUUUGGAGUAAUGAUUUAAGUUAUCGGAACAAGGCAUUAUGACUGGAACAUGAAGGCAAGCGAUGCAGAGGAAGAAAAAUUAUCUUUUAGAUGAACUCUGCGGACAUCCCAAUACUUUUUCAGAUGCCCCCAGUUAAGUCAACAAUGGAACUUUCCAAGAAGAGGGAAGAGGACCUAUGGAAAGAUAUCCGCCCAUUUGUAGAUGAGGAAAAGGUAGAUCCUCUCAGCAUGAUCUGACCAAUGCGGUGAUGUCUUUUAAGACAAGCGCACACCUUACGACCCGAUCCGGCGUCACAGCUCUUGUCAGCUUGAGAGUCGCAGACCGGUCAGAGACAAGUCGCAAGGUAAACCGUAAGGAUUUGACAUGUCAAAUCCUUAUGACUGAACGGCAGGCUCAAUCCAACUUCCAACCAAUCAGACAGCAGAGUUGCACGACGCGUAUAUGAUAUACAACAUGCAUACGCUGUACGUAGCAAGCGCUAUUUUCUCAGUUGCUAUGGCAAAAAGCGCAGCAUGCGUGAGUCAAAGACAGCAUAGCAUGAAAGUCGGAUCGCAAGGUGUGCGGUGUCGAGGCUUAUGACUACCAUGCGAUUUAAGCUUCGACACUGCACACCUUGCGAUCCGACUACCAUGCUGUCUGCUACUCACGCAUGCAAUAUAAGGCCAGGGGGUGUUUCACAAAGAUUUAAGUAUGACUUAGAGUCGCACUUUAUGCCUCAUUACGUGCGAUAUAAAAGGCAUGACCGCAUUGGUCAGGUCAUGAGUAGAGGCAGCGCACUACUGACUAUUUGCGUUGGCAUUUAAGUGCUACCUAAGUCAUACUUAAAUCGUUGUGAAACACCACCCUGGUUACAUUGUAAAGCCAGGUUAGACUAUAAGUUGUUUCAAUUUUAAGCCAAGUUACUAUUUAAUGUUGGGUUACAUUACAAGGCAAGACUACAUUAUCAGGCCAUGUUACACUUUUAGUCAGGUUACACUAUAAGGUCAGUGGUGUUUCACAAAGAUUUUAAUAUGACUCUUACAUGAUAUGCAACAUGAAUCUUUUUAUCAAUACCGUACGCAGUAGUGCGAGUCCUCUCAGCAUGAUCUGACCAAUGCAGUGAUGUCUUUAAUACUGCAUGCAAGUAGGCCCAGAUUACACUUUUAGAUCAGGAUACCUUCUAAAGCCUGGUUACGCUUUAAAGAAGGUAACUCUUUAAAGCAGGUUAAAUUAUUAGGAGAGGUUACACAAUAAGCACAUGAAUCACACUUAAAAGGUCUAUGGAAGCCACUUGACUUUUCAAUUGCAGGUUACAUUAUAAGGCAAGGUUACACAAUAAGCACAGGUAUCACACUAUCAGGCAACUCAGCCUAAAUUACACUAAAAGAUCAGGAUACAUUUUAAAGCCAGGUUUAAAGCAAGGUUACUGUUUUAAGAAGUUAACUCUUUGCAGGUUAAACUAUAAGGCCAGGUUACACAAUAAGCACAGGUAUCACACUUAAAGCCUAUCAAAGCCAGAUUACUUUUUAAUUCCAGGUUACAUUAUAUAGGCCAGGGGGUGUUUCACAAAGAUUUAAUUAUGACUUAGAGUUGCACUUAAAUGCCUAGUUUUGCGCGGUAUAAAAGCCAUGACCGCAUUGCGCAUUGGUCAGAUCAUGCAAAGAGGACGCGCACUAUUGCGUAUUAAUGAAUUAGAUUGCGCGUUGCAUUUCAGAUACGCGUCGGCAUUUAAGUGCGAUUUAAGUCAUACUUAAUUCUUUGUGAAACACCCCCAGGUUACGUUGACCAUGUUUCAGUUUUAACCUAGUUACUCUUUAAUGUUGGGUUACAUUACAAGGCAAGACUACAUUAUCAGGCCAUGUUACACUUUUAGUCAGGUUACACUAUAAGGUCAGGGGUGUUUCACAAAGAUUUUGAUAUGACUCUUACAUGACAUGCAACGUGAAUCUUUUUUAUCAAUACCGUACGCAGUAGUGCGAGUCAUCUCAGCAUGAUCUGACCAAUGCGGUGAUGUCUUUUAUACUGCACGCAAGUAGGCCCAGAUUACACUACUGCUAUUUCAGACUUUGUUCUUGUAUUAAAAGUCUUCAGAUUACUAAAAAAUAAUGGUCAUAAAACUGUCUGGGAGUUAUGCUUAAUUUUAUACCUAAAAAGCCAUUUGUGACUUUGAGGAUUUUUUCACUCUUAUUUUUUGGAGAAUUUUUUUUACAAAAACAUCACGCUGAUCAUUUCAUGACAUGAAUGCUAGCAAGAAUAAAACCUGCAAAAUAAACAUUUCUAAUUAUAUGCAUUCUAAUUUUAUAUGAAUUAAACAAGGAUCAAUAGACCGGUUUACUAACAUAUUCAAAUUUUAUGCAUACCAGUUUAACAAAGGUUGCUUCUAACAACCGGAAAGCUUGCCUGAUAUUUGCCGAAAAUAGCAACAACUAAUGUAUGCAAAGUGGAUUCCAAGUAUUGAAAUACCAUUAAUAGCAGGUCUGAUUAAUAGGUACAGGUUAAUAGAAUAACUUGUUACUAGGUCCCGAUGGAAGAAACAUCCAUAAAUUUGACCUUAUUAGUAAAUCGGUCUAUUUCAGGGCGUCACUGGUACCUAUCUCCUGUUGGUGGCGAGCUGCUCAUUGUUGGAAAGUGAACAUUGCGCGUUGGAUCUCAAAUCAAAAGAUUUUUAUUAGAAUAUCUCUUUUACAGUUUUAUUGAUCAAAUUUGUAUGUAUCCAAUAUAUAGUAUUCCUCUGGUAAUUAUGGAGUCAGAAGACAUGGAACUGUUAUUAUUUUGGCUAUACAGUGCGUCCCAAAAAAAACCUAUACACUUUUGAAAUGGCUGCCAAAUAAAAAAAUGUACCACUUUGGGGGAAAAGACUUAUAGAUAUGGAAAGCCUAUAAAGUCAACUUUCAAAUGACACCAAAAAGUUGGAAAACUUUUCAUGCUUGAGCGAGCACUGCCCACUGAAACAAAGGGUAUGAAAAUUAGGGUGGGCUGGAAUUAGCCUUCCAAUUUCUUUCAGUUUUUUUUGUUUGGUACUUGCAAAGUUGAUGGUUAUUUGGUGAAUUAAAGAUCAGUUGUGAUCAGUUUGUUGUUUGUGAAAAUUUAAUGCGUUAUUAAAUUGAAAUUUAAUGCAUGAGUGAUCAUGAAUUGGGUGCAGCAUUUUGUCUUAUCAUGUGGAUCUCAACAAUGUGUUCACGACAGUCAGGAGAAGAGGGGGUAAUAUGACUUAGGUAGGUGAAGUACGUUGAUGGGAUAAAGGUCAACAGAACAUUUAGCAACCCCUCUCUCAAUCUCACCCCCCCCCGCUUCUCUCCUCCUGAGAGACUAAGCUCAGCUAAAGUAGGAUGGGCAGGAAUUAGCCUUACAGUUUUUUGAGUGGUUAGUCCUUUGGAACUUGUUAAGCUAAAUUAAUGAGUGAGAUAAGUUUUGGUUUCUUAGGCAAAUCUCAUGAGUUACUAAAUUGAAAUGUAAUGCAUGAGUGAACAGGAAUUGUAAUUUUAUUGUAGCAUAUUCAUCUUGUGAACCUCAAAAGUGUGUUCGUGAGAGUCAGAGUAAUGUGAUGGUACCCGUUACAAGCAAGAGGGCGAGAUAUGCUAAGACUUGGUUAAAAGGGCAUUCCUCUUCUUUUUUUUCCUUUUACAAAUUAAAAGUCAUAUGUACCCUCUCUCUCUCUGUCUCACUUCCUGCAUCAUUUGUAGCCUAUUCAAAACUUAACUGCCAAGUGACCGGUGGCUGAUGGUCAGUUUUUUUUUUUUCAAUGACUACCAAGAAAUUUAAUGAUUAUGAUGAUUAAUGAAAUAAUUAAUUGAAAAAAAACUGAAUGUUUGAUUGAUCACAUUGCACAUUGAAUAAGUUGAUUUACUGAUAAAUUGUUGAUUAAAUGAUUGAUAGGAAAAAGUUGAUGUCCCAAUUCAGAAUUAAUCAUUAAAUCAACAUUCUGCUCUGGACUUCACGCGUACAUGACAAUAGCCAUCAGUCUCUCAACAGGAGGGAGGGCGGGAGAGAGGGAGGGGGCGGGGGCUGAAUGUUCUGUUGACCCUUAUUCCAUCAACCUACUUCUCUCACUUAAGUCCUAUCUCACCCCCUAUUCUCCCGACGCCCAUGAACACAUUGCUGAGAUCCACAUGAUAAAUUUGAAAUGCUGCCCAAAAAGAGAUCCAAAUGAUAAAGUUUAAA